GAAGCCUUGGGACAUUUUCAUUUGAGAUGAUAACAAAGUCAUUUUAGGAGAAAAACUGGGUUGUGCUGUGAAAGGUUCUGAAGAUGGAGCCCAGAUGCUCAACCACUACCUGAACUCCAAUCUGGGCUGCAAAUGCGGAGGGAAUAACCAUCCCACAAAAUGUCGUGUUUCCCAGCACAAUGACUCCUCCUGUCCAUGGGCUCCAACAACACUGGCCUCCCUGCUGCUCCUGGACAGUCUGGACCCUCUGGGGUUAUUCUUUGUACAGAGGAUGAAGAAAUCCAUGUGCACAGAUUGGACUUCUCCCUUGGGCCGCGGAGAUGUUCCCAACUGUCUCCCGGACAUUUCCAGCUCAGAGUCAACAGAUGAUUGGAGAGUUAUCUCAUCUGCUACAUAUUUACUUAGUCACAUCUCCUAACUGCUCCAAUCACCCAAGAGCAAAAUCUAAGUGUCUGCCUUAAUAGUUCUUAUCAAUGCAUCACCAUUCACAGAUGUGCAUGCACUUAUACAUACACUCCUUCAAUCCAUCCUACGUGGUGUUGAUUGUAUCUCCAAUACAUUCUUCAUAACCCUUCUUUCUUCUCUGCCUUCUACAGUCCCUAUCCUGGACAAGACACUAAUAAUUUCUGAGGGGUAUAAUUUUAAUACAUUAUUCUCUGAACUCCCUACUGACAAUUCAUGUUCUUCACAUUGCAAAUAAAGUUCUCGCUCUCUAAAAUGGCAG
rnacentral:lncRNA from 10 species